rnacentral:rRNA from 1 species
GGGAAUAUUGGACAAUGGGCGAAAGCCUGAUCCAGCAAUGCCGCGUGAGUGAUGAAGGCCCUAGGGUUGUAAAGCUCUUUUACCCGGGAUGAUAAUGACAGUACCGGGAGAAUAAGCUCCGGCUAACUUCGUGCCAGCAGCCGCGGUAAUACGAGGGGAGCUAGCGUUGUUCGGAAUUACUGGGCGUAAAGCGCGCGUAGGCGGUUUUUUAAGUCAGAGGUGAAAGCCCGGGGCUCAACCCCGGAAUUGCCUUUGAAACUGGAAAACUAGAAUCUUGGAGAGGUCAGUGGAAUUCCGAGUGUAGAGGUGAAAUUCGUAGAUAUUCGGAAGAACACCAGUGGCGAAGGCGACUGACUGGACAAGUAUUGACGCUGAGGUGCGAAAGCGUGGGGAGCAAACA